AGUGAUGGAGCUCAGCCCUACAAACUGCUGUCCUACAAAGAAGGUGCUGGCACCAGACCUGCUGAUUGCAGUGGCCCUUUCCACACAGACCUGGGGACACAGGGAGCCCCACACAGCCAUGGAAAUGGCUGACAGAGCAGCAACCCGGUGAGCAGGGCUGUGCAGGAGGGGGUAGCUCAGGGAAGCAGGGCAGGAGGCUGCUCCUUCCUUCCUUCCCCUCUGCCUUGUAGAUGGACAGCCCAACACAAAUGGCUCCAGAUGCCCAAAAGUGAUGGAGCUCAGCCCUACAAACUGCUGUCCUACAAAGAAGGUGCUGGCACCAGACCUGCUGAUUGCAGUGGUUCUUUCCACACAGACCUGGGGACACAGGGAGCCCCACACAGCCAUGGAAAUGGUUGGCAGAGCAGCAACCCGGUGAGCAGGGCUGUGCAGGGGAGAGCAGCUCAGGGCAGGAGGGCAGGAGGCUGCUCCUUCCU